UGCGCCGCAAUCUUCUUCUUCUCUAUUCUUCUUUCUCUAAUUUUUCGUUCCCUUCUCUGGUUCUUUCUGCAUCUCAAAAUUUUCUGCCCAAGCUCUUCAACAAUCAACAAUCCUCCAUAAACCUGGUAAGCCCUUGCUUCCAUUCGAAAAUACAAAAGCAUGAGGGAGCCAAGUGCAAUUUUCAGAAAUUUCAAAAAGUGAAAUGCAGUAGCAACUGCAUCUUUUGUGUAUCUCUGUUGAAAAAACGGAAAAACACACAAUUUGGGAUGUGAUUUGCAGUAUGGUUGGAGGUGAAUUCUACCCCAAGGUCGGUAAUGCUAGGCCGCCGCCGCCGCCCAGAUUCAUACUUUUGGUGAUAGGGGGGGCGGUUCGCGCGAUGAAAGGAGGAUUCGGAUCAUUGGAUUUGCCCAAAAAAGUUGUACGCGUGAAACUCGGAAUGAUUUUACCGGGUCAUCCUGUUUAAUAACAAAGUCAUCAAACACAUGACUUAAAUAGGAUACUAAACAUCCCAAUUAUCAUGCUUAUAUUUGGUGUAAUGCUUUGAUUGUCUCAAUUAAAAUAAUCAUGUACUUCAUUCUAAUAAUGUUCUAUUUUCUUAUUGAUAA